rnacentral:tRNA from 1 species
GGAGAAUUAGCUAAGCUGGCUAGAGCAUACCCUUCAUACGGGUAAGGUACUUGGUUCAACCCCAAGAUUCUCCACCA